rnacentral:rRNA from 1 species
UAUCUCUGUAGAGUCUGCAUAUCAAUAAGCGGAGGAAAAGAAACUAACAAGGAUUCCCUUAGUAACGGCGAGUGAAGCGGGAAGAGCUCAAAUUUGAAAUCUUCAAGGUUUUACCUUGACGAAUUGUAGUUUAAAGAAGUGUUUCCUGUUGAAGUUUUGGUAAAAGUUCUUUGGAAUAGGACAUCAUAGAGGGUGAGAAUCCCGUAUUUGACCAUUAUUUCAGCUGUGUGAUACACUUUCAAAGAGUCGGAUUGUUUGGGAAUGCAGUCCAAAAUGGGUGGUAAAUUUCAUCUAAAGCUAAAUAUUGGCGAGAGACCGAUAGCGAACAAGUACCGUGAGGGAAAGAUGAAAAGAACUUUGUAAAGAGAGUUAAACAGUACGUGAAAUUGUCAAAAGGGAAGCGUUUGACACCAGUGUUGUUUUCUCGAAAAUCAAUUAAAAAAAGUUGGAUUUUGUAUUGUUAAGACCUUAUCAGCUUACUGUACUCUUUUCUUGCUUUUUUUAAUGCACUUUUCGUUUAACAAGUCAACAUCAAUUUCUUUUGUUGUAAAAGAGUCAUUGGAAGGUGGCUUUCACUUCGGUGAAAGUGUUUAUAGCCUUUGGCUUCUGCAAUCGGAGAGAUUGAGGUCUGCAGCGUAGAUCCUUCGGGGCUAGAUACGUAGAUGCUAAGUUAUAGUUUUUUAUAGACAACUUGUUGACUAUAAUUAAUCAUGUAGCUUACUCGUUUGCGCUAUUUUACCUACGCUUAGGAUGUUGAUCUGUAGUGCGUGCGC